AGAAGCACUUGAGAUGAGUCAAACUCGUUUCGGACCGAUAUUUGCUGGAUAAAAUCUGUUUGAAGAUAAAUUCGACUACUACAAACGUUGGAAUUGACUAAAAAGGGUUCGUAGAGGUUAGUAGAGGUUUGUAGUGAAAUAAUUUUCGAUAGUAGUAAAGAUACAUGUUGACUAGAAGCACUUGAGAUGAGUCAAACUCGUUUCGGACCGAUAUUUGCUGGAUAAAAUCUGUUUGAAGAUAAAUUCGACUACUACAAACGUUGGAAUUGACUAAAAAGGGUUCGUAGAGGUUAGUAGAGGUUUGUAGUGAAAUAAUUUUCGAUAGUAGUAAAGAUACGUGUUGACUAGAAACACUUGAGAUGAGUCAAACUCGUUUCGGACCGAUAUUUGCUGGAUAAAUCCUGUUUGAAGAUAAAUUCGACUACUACAAACGUUGGAAUUGACUAAAAAGGGUUCGUAGAGGUUAGUAGAGGUUUGUAGUGAAAGAAUUUUCGAUAGUAGUAAAGAUACAUGUUGACUAGAAGCACUUGAGAUGAGUCAAACUCGUUUCGGACCGAUAUUUGCUGGAUAAAACCUGUUUGAAGAUAAAUUCGACUACUACAAACGUUGGAAUUGACUAAAAAGGGUUCGUAGAGGUUAGUAGAGGUUUGUAGUGAAAGAAUUUUCGAUAGUAGUAAAGAUACAUGUUGACUAGAAGCACUUGAGAUGAGUCAAACUCGUUUCGGACCGAUAUUUGCUGGAUAAAAUCUGUUUGAAGAUAAAUACGACUACUACAAACGUUGGAAUUGAUUAAAAAGGGUUCGUAGAGGUUUGUAGUGAAAGAAUUUUCGAUAGUAGUAAAGAUACAUGUUGACUAGAAGCACUUGAGAUGAGUCAAACUCGUUUCGGACCGAUAUUUGCUGGAUAAAAUCUGUUGGAAGAAAAAUUCGACUACUACAAACGUUGGAAUUGAUUAAAAAGGGUUCGUAGAGGUUAGUAGAGGUUUGUAGUGAAAUAAUUUUCGAUAGUAGUAAAGAUACGUGUUGACUAGAAGCACUUGAGAUGAGUCAAACUCGUUUCGGACCGAUAUUUGCUGGAUAAAAUCUGUUUGAAGAUAAAUUCGACUACUACAAACGUUGGAAUUGACUAAAAAGGGUUCGUAGAGGUUAGUAGAGGUUUGUAGUGAAAGAAUUUUCGAUAGUAGUAAAGAUACAUGUUGACUAGAAGCACUUGAGAUGAGUCAAACUCGUUUCGGACCGAUAUUUGCUGGAUAAAAUCUGUUUGAAGAUAAAUUCGACUACUACAAACGUUGGAAUUGAUUAAAAAGGGUUCGUAGAGGUUAGUAGAGGUUUGUAGUGAAAGAAUUUUCGAUAGUAGUAAAGAUACAUGUUGACUAGAAGCACUUGAGAUGGGUCAAACUUCUUUUGGAGCGAUAUUUACUGGAUAAAAUCUGUUUGAAGAUAAAUACGACUACUACAAACGUUGGAAUUGAUUAAAAAGGGUUCGUAGAGGUUAGUAGAGGUUAGUAGUAAAAGAAUUUUCGAUAGUAGUAAAGAUACAUGUUGACUAGAAGCACUUGAGAUGAGUCAAACUCGUUUCGGACCGAUAUUUGCUGGAUAAAAUCUGUUUGAAGAUAAAUUCGACUACUACAAACGUUGGAAUUGAUUAAAAAGGGUUCGUAGAGGUUAGUAGUAAAAGAAUUUUCGAUAGUAGUAAAGAUACAUGUUGACUAGAAGCACUUGAGAUGAGUCAAACUUCUUUCGGAGCGAUCGCUCGGAAACAAAGAAGUUUGACUCACCUCAAGUGCUUCUAAUCGACAUGUAUCGUUACUACUAUCAAAAAUUCUUUCACUACUAA